GGCCAAGCUAAUAAGGGUGUACGAUGGAUGCCCUGGCGAAGACGGGCGAUGAAGGGCGUGGCAAGCUGCGAUAAGCCCCGGUGAGGUGCAAGCGACCUUUGACCCGGGGAUUCCCGAAUGGGGCAACCCAUCCACUGCGAAGUGGAUAUCCUGUCGCAAGCAGGAAGCGAACCGAGGGAAGUGAACCAUCUCAGUACCUCGAGGAAAAGAAAAAAACUUGAUUCCCUCAGUAGCGGCGAGCGAAAGGGGAACAGCCCAAACCGAAUGAUGUUAUAGCAUAGCCGCGUUCAUCAUUCGGGGUUGUAGGACCUGGCAUGGAAGUGGCUAUACUUCCAGCAUGACACAACCUUUUGGGUUAGCCGAAUAAUCUGGAAAGAUUAGCCAUAGAAGGUGAAAGCCCUGUAAGCGAAAACUCAAAAGGCAUGCGUCAGGCACCUGAGUACCACGGAGGAACCGAGAAGCUCUGUGGGAAUCCACCACGACCACGUGGCAAGGCUAAAUACAUGUCUUCGACCGAUAGUGAACCAGUACCGUGAGGGAAAGGUGAAAAGAACCCCGGGAGGGGAGUGAAAUAGAACCUGAAAUCGUGCACCUACAAGCAGUCGGAGCCUGCUACUUCUGUAGCGGGUGACGGCGUGCCUAUUGAAGAAUGAGCCAGCGAGUUACUGGCGGUAGCAAGGUUAAUCCACCUAAGUGGAGGAGCCGUAGCGAAAGCAAGUGGUGCAAAUAGCGCCAAUUAGUUACCGUUAGUAGACCCGAAGCCAGGUGAUCUAUCCAUGGACAGGAUGAACCCUUCGUAACAGAAGGGGGAGGUCCGAACCGGUGACAGUUGCAAAUGUCUCGGACGAUCUGUGGAUCGGAGUGAAAGGCUAAUCAAACCUGGUUAUUGCUGGUUCUCCCCGAAAUGACUUUAGGGUCAGCCUCGGUCUAUAGAAUUGCGGAGGUAAAGCACUGACUGGGCAAGGUUUGAUUCCAUCAGACCAAGUCCUAUCAAACUCUGAAUUCCGCAAUUUGUUCACCGGGAGUGAGACUGUGAGGGCUAAGCUUCAUAGUCAAAAGGGACUCAGCCCAGACCAUCAGCUAAGGCCCCUAAAUCCAGACUAAGUGUCGAAGGAUGUGGGGUUGCAUAGACAACCAGGAGGUUGGCUUAGAAGCAGCCAUCCUUUAAAGAAAGCGUAACAGCUCACUGGUCGAUGUGAUCCUGCGCCCAAAAUUCAACGGGGCUCAAGUCUGGUGCCGAAGCUAUGGUUCAAUCAGCGCAUAGUUGAUUGAAGGUAGGGGAGCAUUCCCUGUGGUUGAAGCCGUUUCGUAAGGAACGGUAGACGUCAGGGAAGAGAGAAUGCUGGCAUGAGUAGCGAAAAUUCCGAUGAGAAUUCGGAACGCCGAAAGUCCAAGGUUUCCUGGGGAAGGUUCGUCCGCCCAGGGUUAGGCGGGAGCUAAGCCGAGGCCGAAAGGCGUAGGUGAUGCACAGCCGGUUAAUAUUCCGGCCCUAUCUGGUAUGCGUUUUUACCGAAGGGGGGACGGAGCGCAAUAGAGCAUCCGGUUUCUGGACAU
rnacentral:rRNA from 1 species